rnacentral:rRNA from 1 species
GACGAACGCUGGCGGCGUGCUUAACACAUGCAAGUCGAACGGAAAGGCCCUGCUUUUGUGGGGUGCUCGAGUGGCGAACGGGUGAGUAACACGUGAGUAACCUGCCCUUGACUUUGGGAUAACUUCAGGAAACUGGGGCUAAUACCGGAUAGGAGCUCCUGCUGCAUGGUGGGGGUUGGAAAGUUUCGGCGGUUGGGGAUGGACUCGCGGCUUAUCAGCUUGUUGGUGGGGUAGUGGCUUACCAAGGCUUUGACGGGUAGCCGGCCUGAGAGGGUGACCGGCCACAUUGGGACUGAGAUACGGCCCAGACUGCUACGGGAGGCAGCAGUGGGAAAUAUUGCACAGUGGGCGGAAGCCGGAUGCAGCAACGCCGCGUUCGUGAUGACGGCCUUCGGGUUGUAAACCGCUUUCGCCUGUGACGAAGCGUGAGUGACGGUAAUGGGUAAAGAAGCACCGGCUAACUACGUG